rnacentral:lncRNA from 15 species
AUGGACAGGGAAUACACAGGAUAUAUACAGGGAAUACACUGGGAAUAUACUCGGAAUAUUCACGAAUAUUCGGGAAUACACAGGGAAUAUACUCGGAAUAUUCGGGAAUACGCAGGGAAUACACAAGAAAUAUACCGGGAAUAUACAGGGAAUACACAGGGAAUAUACUCGGAAUAUUCGGGAAUAUGCAGGGAAUACACAAGAAAUAUGCCGGGAAUAUUUGGGAAUAUACUGGGAAUACACAGGGAAUAUACUCGGAAUAUUCUGAAAUACACAGGGAAUAUUCGGGAAUAUGUGGGAAUAUACCGGGAAUACACAGGGAAUAUUUGGGAAUAUACAAGGAAUAGACCGGGAAUACGCAGGGAAUAUACAAGGAAUAGACCGGGAAUACGCAGGGAAUAUACUCGGAAUAUUCACGAAUAUACCGGGAAUACACUGGGAAUAUNCAGGGAA